GCAGCCACCAAGUUAGUUAACAAGCCCACUACUGUGUUGGUUCAUGAUCUCUUAGUUUGCCACAAUUAUUUGUUAAGCUGAUAAUCCUGUUUGCCUUAGAAAGAUCUCAUCAUUUCUUAUGAAAUAUAUAACCUUCACCUGUGGUAAUUUUUAAUGAGAACCUUUCAUUUAAUUCUAGUUUAAUCACUCUUGUUAAACUUUUAUUGCAUGAAAUAAUUUGAUCAUUUAGAAUUAGUAAUUAAGCUAAACAAACCAUUUAUUUCUGGAGCAAAAGGUCUUUUAAUAAACUUAGAGACAACAUAUUUAUAGAUAAUUUGCUUUUUAAUAACAUUUCUUUUGAAAAGAAUUAGAAAGCAUUUCUAAGUUUUGAGUAGAUAAUUUCUAUAAAAUAUUUGAAAGAGACUACGUAUUAUGUUUAUUGCUGUGAAGGUAGAGGGGUGUGUGACAGUGUCAAUGUAUAGUACUGUUGAUCCCCAUUGUGGCUAACAUCACUCAUUACGUGCUAGACCCUACCACAUAAUUUUCACGAUCCCUAAAAUGGUCGUUGUUCCUGUCGUACAGAUAGAAAACUGAGGCCGGGCAUUCAUAAACCUGCUUUGUGGCAGAGUUGUUAUUUCAAAUCUUAAUAACCUUAACAGCAAAGAAAAACUUGAUUUAAAAAAAAAUACAAUAGCUACCUUUUAUAUGCUGUACCUCCAAUUUCAGAAAGUGUCCAUGAUGCUAAGUGUGGGAUAGUGUCAGGUCAGGCAUCAUAGUGUAUCACCAGUCCCCCAAGUGUCUAUGAUGCUAAGUGUGGGAUGGUGUCAGGCACAUUCAUAGUGAAUCACCAGCCCCACCAGUCUAGAUCUGGUCUUUGACCCGGAAGAGGAAGUGGGCAGAACACUUGUUAGAGGCCAUCACUCUCUUGAUGUCGUCCUGCCUGGACCCCUGUGAGAGUCACAGCUGUGAGUGGAUAGAUUUUAUUAUCUAGGGAGCUGAAAUAGCAAAUUUUAUCUUGAGUGAGCCUAGCACAAUUUCUAAUGUUUUAAAACUUCUUGAUUUAUUAGCCAUUAGUGUUGGCAUUACUCGUAUCUAUUAGAUAAUGUGACAGGAAGUUAAAUUUGUAAUAAAAUGGGGCAAAUGUAAUUAAUAUUUAUUUUAUAAAUUUGGGGAGCUUUUUGCUUAUAUUCUGCUUUUUGAAGAAUAUCAAGUGUUUAUUAGGAUAUAGAUUAUAGUUUACUCAUGCUUUACAUAAUCUGUAUUUCAAAAGAGAAAGAUGUUUGAGGCUGGGAGUGUAUAUUUUUAGUGCUUGAGGAGUUUAAUGUACGUUCUUAUGAAUGUGAAUGAAAGUUUCAUGUCUUGAAAGUUUAUUACCUGGAGAUUAUAGGCUGUACUUCAUGGGGUUUAAUAUUUCCUUCAAUUAUAUCAAAAUGUAAAAGUAACAACUCUUUUUCUAAAGGAUAAAGUCGCUAAUAUUUGGUGCAGCGUUAAUGUCUUUCUGAAGAUUAAGGACACUUUGCCUCGCCACAUCCAGAUAGCGAUCAGGUAACUAACAAAGUUUCUAUAUAGUACUGUAUAAGUCACUCUUCAAAAACACUACAGUACUAUGCUACUUAUCUGAGCUGCUUACUAGUGGCUUUCCACUUAGUACAGUAAAAUUCUGUGUCCUGCACCUCCUUCCCCCCAAACAAAGUUUUUUGUAUAGCCCUGGCUGUCUGGCAACUUUCUUUGAAGCCCUGGCUGGCCUCAGAGAUCCAUCCACCUGCCUCUGCCUCCCCAGCUGGGAUUAAAGAUGUGACCCACCAUGCCCAGCUUGCUCCUCUCCUUUGCUCUCCCUCUUCCCCUCCCCAGUUCGAAUUAUUUUAUGUGGACAUUUGUCCUAUUUUUUUCUUUAAAUAGAACAUACUUUAACUAUGAUUUAGUAUUAUUUUGAAGAUUCAUGAUUUUUAUAGGUGUGCAGCUAACAUCAGCCAGAAAAAUACAGCAAGUUAGAGAGAAUUGUGUUUGUGUGAGUUUAUCACGGUACUUGGCUAAUGCAGUUGUGAGGAGUUGUGGGGGUCUGGCUAAGGAAGCAACCAGUCCACAGGGUACGUCAGGAAUAUCUUGGGAAGGAAAUGGAACUGGCCCACAGUGACUAUCAGGAGGGCUUCCAGGACAUUGAUUGCUAAGCCCCCAGGACAGACUCAUCAUUGCUUGACAUCAUUAGCAGAUAGUAUUGCCUUUCUUGUGGGCUCUGACUCUCAGAAUAGACCCUGUAGCCCACCCUCUCAGGAAGUGUGCAGAAAGGGAGGUUGGGGACUUAAGCCUCACCACUCACAAGUUACAGAACCACCCAAAGUGAGGAGGUGAGGUUUUGUGUUGAGACAUUAUCUGUCUUCGGGCUUUAUGGGCUGUUUGUCACAGUUCUGAGAUGGCCCGUGUUUAGCUUUUCUCCUUAUUCAUCAGCCACAUCUAAGAGAAGCUGUAUAGCUCACUCCUGUAGUAGUAGUCAGAGACUAUUAAUCUCAGAGUCAUAGGUUUGAGCCCCAUGCUGGAUGCCAACUGUAGCAGUAGCCAAUUAAUCUCUAUUUAAAUCAGCCCGGUGCUGGCACAUUUCUCACUACCCAGCCAAUGUUUUGGGUUCUAAAAUGAAAGACACAUACACAUGGCCUUAUAUUUUAAUAUGUCUUAAACAGGUCAAUGGCCAGGUCACUUUUAAACCUUCACACAGAUAACACAUUCUCUCCUCUGAUAUUCCUGAGUUAUUACUUACUAAAACCUGUAUUCCACAUUGGCUAUCCCGGACCCAGGCCUCUUGGGCUGAGUUCACCAACACCUAUGUCAGGGCUGUGUUCUCUGUCCAGCAUGUCAGGUCUGGCAUCUACUUUCCUGGCAUGGUGGCUUUCUUUUCCCUCCCUCAGUCCCUUGUCUGGGAAUGCUAAAAGUUUCGCCUCUGUCUCCCUGCCUAACCAUUGACCACCAGAAAUUUUAUUUACCAAUCAAAACCAACGGGAGGCAGGGACCCUCAGUGUCUUAUGUGUGGAUUCUUCUACAAUUUUGGGGACCCAACUAACAUAAUACAAAUAUUAGACUAAACCACAACAUACUCUCUUAUGAUUGGUUCUUUCUGGAGUUGAAAAAGAUUUGUCAACUUUUGCGGAGUGAGGGCCAGGACUCUUCUGGAAGUAAAGUUUUUGAAUAUUUGUGUUGAAAAUACAGUGUUGUCUCCUUAGGCCUAUGGGGUUUUCUCUUUCUUUCUUUCUUUCUUUCUUUCUUUCUUUCUUUCUUUCUUUCUUUCUUUCUUUCUUUCUUUCUUUCUUUCUUCUUUCUUUCUUUCUUUCUUUCUUUCUUUCUUUCUUUCUUUCUUUCUUUCUUUCUUUCUUUUUGGUUUUUCGAGACAGGGUUUCUCUAUGUAGCCCUGGCCCUCCUGGAACUCACUACUGCCUGCCUCUGCCUCCCAAGUGUUGGGAUUAAAGGUGUGCGCCACCACGCCCGGCCUGAUGGUGUUUUCUUAUUUUCUAGUGUUUGGUAAUUGCCCUGCAACUAUGACACAUGAUAUUACAUAUUACAUGAUAUAUCAUAUGUGAUAUUAAAUGCUGAAUGACAUAUACAGUACUUAGUAUUGUUUGAUUUGUAUUAUGUAAGAAUUGUGUACAAAAGUGUAUACAUAUUUCAAUGUGUUGUUUUAUUCACAUUUUAAUUUAAAAUUUAAUAAAUAAUAAAGUUUAAUCUGAGAUCAUCUUGGAUUAUUGAAUAAUAUAAUCUUUACUUUAAAAGUUAAUUGUUUUAGCUAGAUUUCUAAUUAAAAAAAACCUAUUUCCUUGCCUUUUAGCUUUUGCUUUACACUUUUGAGCUUGCUUCCUGCAUGUAUAAAACUGACAGUUCGACCCUCUUGUAAAGGAUUCAGAUUUACUCUGGUAAGUUUCUCAUUUUUCUUAAGAGACUUAGUUCUUGCUAUAGCUGACAUUUUUAAAGACACCUGUAAUCACUUGCUUGGGGUAGGACUGAGUGGGCUGCAGAACAAAGCACUGAUCAUCUGACACACUGGCCUCCGUCCUUGCAAAUGCUGGAUUAGGCCGAGCAGUCAGAACCUUCAGUUCCGUUCACUUUAAGAACCGGUGGGUGUUUUGCUUUGUAUUGAUUGGUUGAUGAGGGUCACAAAGGCGGUAAUAACGUCUGUCCGUCUGACGCUGUUGAGCAGGUGGCACUAUGUUCUGCUGGUGCCGACUGAGUCUGUGAUGUGCUGGUGGAAGGAGAGAUCUUGGAGGAGGACUAUAGACUUGCUGAGCAAGUGGGAUUUCAGUCAGCUUUGGGAGGCUAGACAAGGCUUGGAACUUCUGGACAGCUGAAGGCAGAAGACAGACAGCAGGAUGGGAAUGGAUGUUACAUGUGUCCCUGUCUGUUUCUGUGUGUCACGGGUGGGUGAGAAAAAU
rnacentral:lncRNA from 1 species